UACGUAGGGGGCAAGCGUUGUCCGGAAUUAUUGGGCGUAAAGAGCGUGUAGGCGGCCAGAUAAGUCCGCUGUGAAAUCUCGAGGCUCAACUUCGAGCUGAUCGGUGGAAACUAUCUGGCUAGAGUCCGGAAGAGGAGAAUGGAAUUCCUGGUGUAGCGGUGAAAUGCGCAGAUAUCAGGAAGAACACCCAAGGAGAAAUCAGCGGACUGGCUCGGUGCUGACACUGAGGUGCGAAAGCGUGGGGAAGCGAACGUGG
rnacentral:rRNA from 1 species